AGCAAGGUGGCUCAGCAGUAAACGCACAGGCUGUCCAAGCCUGAUGACCUGGGUUGGAGUCCCUGCUUCGCUU
rnacentral:tRNA from 1 species